GGAAAGUGAGCUACAGGAUAGAAAGCUGCGGGUCUGCGCAGCCUGGGUGCACAGAGUACCUGUAAUGCCUGUGGUGCCGGCCGGGAGGGUCGGGCCCAGAAGAAGGCAGACUAGCCCCUGCCCUGCCCAACUUCAGUCCAGCCAAAGAGAAGUAAACGAGGGAGUGGGUGUUAGGUAAGGAAAGUACCCUGACCGGACGGGUUAGGUGAGAAGGUUUCUUGGAGGAACUGAGACCGGAAGAUGGAGGGAAUUCGCUAGGCCAGAGGCGGGAGGGUGCCCAGGGGAGGGGACAGAGUUCCAGUAAGAGAAAAUAGCAGGCCUCGGUGAGAGGAUCACCAUAGGUUCACACCUCUAGAGGCUUUUAAAGUGGGAACGUGGCAUAAUCAGAUCUACAUUUCAUAAAGGUCACUCUGCAGAGUGCAUUGGGAGAAGAUCAGACUAGAGACAGGAAAAUCAGAAGACUGGCAUUGAUGUGGACUAGGAUGGGGGCAGUGAGGAUGAAGAGACAGGGGUGGAUUUGAAAGAUGUUUUGCACAUAGAAUUAACAAAUUUUGGAUGAGGUGGCAGGGUAGGUGAGAAUUCAAGAGAAUGAAGAGUAAAGAUGAUUUAUUUCUGCAUCAGCAAGGUCAAUGGUGACCAUACAAGUUAUCGCUCUCUCCCCUCCAUAUUUUUAGCACUUUCAGAGCUGUUACCUUACUGCCUUGAGUGUUUCUCUUUUGCGUAGAGAAUUUAUUGCUGUUCCAGAUUAGAGGUUCCUUGAAGAAAUGGACAUCUUCAGGUUUUCCUUUGUUUAGAUUGUACCGCAAAUUACCCAUUUGAUCAUUUGCUGAAUGAUCCAAUGAAUCAAUGGCCCCAAGGGUUUGAUCCUCAAAACUAAAAAAAAAGCUGUCAGAAAGGCCAGUCCUCAAGAUGUAGAUUUUACAGUCAUGUGCCCCAUAAUGACAUUUUGAUCAUCGAUGGACUACAUAUAUAACAUUGGUCCCAUAAGAUUAUAAUGGAGCUGAAAAAUUCUUAUCACCUAGUGACAAAGCCAUUGUAACAUUGUACCGCAAUGUAUUACUCACAUGUUUGUUGUGAUGCUGGUGUAAACAAACCUACCAUGCUGCCAGUCAUAUAAAAAGAUAGCACACAUGAUUAUGUGCAAUACAUAAUACUUCAAAAUGAUAAUAAACGACUGUUACUGGUUCAUAUAUUUACUGUAUUAUACUUUUUAUCAUUAUUUUAGAGUGCAUUCCUUCUACUUAUAAGAAAAGUUAACUGUCAGCCUCAGGCAGGCCUUUCAGGAGGUAUUCCAUAAGAGCAUUGUCAUCACAGGAGAUGACAGCUCCGGGUGUGUUAUUGCCCCUGAAGACCUUCCAAUGGGACAAGAUGUGGAGGUGGAAGACAGUGACACUGAUGAUCCUGACUCUGUCUGGCAGAUACAAUCUGCUGAGCGUCGGGAACACAAGCUGCUGAGCAUCGGGGAUACAAGUGGCUGAGCGUCAAGCCGAGAAGCAGCAACUGAACAUCAGAGACUAACGAUAGACAUGGCUAACUUCAGAUGGUGUGGCUUCAGGGAAACAUCACCUUCUUCCUGCACUACCUCCUUUCCAAUUCCCCAUCCCACUGAGAGCCACGCUUAUUGCCCAAUAAAAUCCUCCGUGUAUACUACCCUUCAA